rnacentral:snRNA from 1 species
AUACUUACCUGGCAGGGGAGAUACCAUGAUCACAAAGGUGGUUUUCCCAGGGCGAGGCUUAUCCAUUACACUCCGGAUGUGCUGACCCCUGCGAUUUCCCCAAAUGUGGGAAACUCGACUGCAUAAUUUGUGGUAGUGGGGGACUGCGUUCGCGCUCUCCCCUA